UCAACUAUGCCUUUUCUCAUUAAAUAAAAGCUUCAUGUUUACAUCUUUCCUCACUUUGCAUCUUUGUAUGGGAUGCAAAAUCCUAACCAUACAAAUCUCUCAUGCUCUAAAAUAGAACGUUUUUGCUUUAAAUUCAACAUUUUUGGCUAUUUAUAAAAUCAAAAUUCAACCCCAAGACAGAAAACACAGCAUCCUCUGUUUCAUUGUUGUCAGCUUCCUCUUUUUCUUGCUCUGUCUAAAGAGUAAAUGGAUAGGCCUUUGACAAUGGCAAAUCUAUUGGAAUUGUUUAUGGGUACACAGGACGACAUUAUAGGGAAAUUUAUGCUCAUCUGGGGUCAAAUCAAAGUGUCAUUAGUAGUGCCAUUUCUGAGAGUUUUUAUGUAUAUUAAUCUGGUGAUGUUGAUCAUGUUAUUCACAGAAAUGGUUUACAUGGUUAUGGUGGUUACAACUAACAAAUUGUUUGGUAAAAAACCCGAACAACGUUACAAAUGGAAACAAUUUGAAGACGAUGUUGAGUUGGGUAGUUCGGUGUACCCUCUAGUUCUUGUUCAAGUUCCAAUGUUCAACGAAAGAGAGGUUUAUCAGCUUUCUAUUGGAGCUGCAUGUAGGCUUACAUGGCCGUAUGAUCGUAUUGUGGUUCAAGUGCUUGAUGAUUCAACAGAUCCAUUGAUCAAGAGUAUGGUGGAAAUGGAGUGCAACAGUUGGGCAAGCAAAGGAAUAAACAUACAUUACCAAGUUAGGGACAACCGAGAGGGAUACAAAGCCGGGGCACUUAAACAAGGGCUAAAGCAUGAUUAUGCCAAAGAGUGCGAGUACGUGGUCAUCUUUGAUGCUGAUUUUCAACCCGAACCCAAUUUCCUUGCUCAAACUAUCCCGUUUCUUCAUCAUAACCCUGAGCUUGCUCUCGUUCAAGGUCGUUGGAAAUUCGUGAACUCAAGUGAUUGCAUAAUGACAAGAGUACAAGAGAUGUCUCUUAACUACCAUUUCAAAGUGGAGCAAGAAUUUGGUUCUAUUGCUCACUCAUUUUUUGGAUUCAAUGGGACUGCUGGAGUUUGGAGAAUGGCUGCGCUUGACGAGGCAGAGGGAUGGAAGGACCGCACAACGGUAGAAGAUAUGGACUUGGCGGUUCGCGCUAGUCUUAAAGGAUGGAAGUUCUUAUACAUUGGUUCAAUAAUGGUUAAAAAUGAACUACCAAGUGUUUUGAAAGCUUAUCGUUACCAACAACAUCGAUGGUCUUGUGGACCAGCUAACCUUUUCAGAAAAAUGGUUUUCGAGAUCAUGAGGAAUAAUAGAGUAACAUGGUGGAAAAAGAUAUAUAUUUUGUAUAGUUUCUUCUUUGUAAGAAAGAUCGUUGCUCAUAUUGUCACAUUCACACUCUAUUGUGUUGUGAUUCCUGCAACUGUAUUGAUACCAGAAGUUAUGAUUCCAGUAUGGGCUAUAAUAUAUAUCCCAACCAUCAUCACGCUUUUUAACGUAAUUGGAACUCCCAGAUCUUUCUAUUUGGUGGUGUUUUGGGUUCUCUUGGAGAAUGUCAUGUCCCUCCACCGGACUAAGGCCACAUUCAUCGGACUUUUUGAGACUCAAAGAGUGAAUGAAUGGGUUGUUACUGAGAAACACGGAGAUGCUUCCAAGGUCAAGGCAGCAACAUCAGAAAGUCAAUCUCGAUUCAGAAUAGGUGAAAGAUAAUUCAUUCAACCAGCUAAGGGCAAAUUAGUCUAUUCAUUCAAUCAGCGAGAAGUUUAUUACACCACUAUCCCGGUAAUUAUGAUUCGUAUCAGUUUCAAAUUUACAUAAUUCUCAAACAAUACAUUGCAGUUUCGUUUUUCUGCGUUAGGGUUUGAAUCGAUUGUUGUUUUCAAUGGAUCCACAGAGCAGUACCGGAUGAAACACAGAUGUUGAGUUUGAAGAUGCUCGAUCGGUCGGUGAUCAGGUUCAAUUAUCUGCUUAUCAGAGAGUUACGAUUGAUGAAGUUAUAAAUCCUAAUUCUGCAAAUGCAAAUGCAAAUACAAGUGGUGUAAAUGAGUUUUCGAAUGAUGAAAGGCUUUAUAUUCCGGAGGUUGAAGCAUCAGCUACACCUAUGGUUGGAAUGCAAUUUAGUUCUCUCGAACAUGCAUACGUGUUUUACCAAACAUAUGCUAAGUUAGCUGGUUUUUCUACUCGCAAAGGUGGUGAAGUACACAGUGUUGGUAUAACCAAAGCUAAUUAUUUUGUUUGUUCUAAAGAGGGACAUAUGCCAUUAUUUAUUGACGAUGCUUAUUCGAAGUCAAAAAAGCCACUCAAAUCAAGGAACAGAGGGACCAUUAGAACUGGGUGCAAAACUCAACUUAUGAUUUGUUUGGUAGAUGGUAGAUCAUAUACAGUCAAGAAAUUUGUUGAUAGCCAUAAUCAUAAGUUUGUAUAUCCACACGAUAUUCAAAUGCUGCCAGCUUACAGGCAAUUGCCAGAAGUCUAGGAGGAAAUGAUAUGGGAACUAGGUACUCUAAACCUUGGCCAUGUCAAAGCUUUUCAUAUAAUAAGGAAACGAUACGGUGCUUUUGAGAAUGUUGGCGCCAUGGUCGAUGAUUACAAAAACUUUAAAACUCGAAUUAAUAGCUAUAUAGGAGAAUAUGACGCUGACAUGGUGAUUAAUAGGUUGACUGACAAAAAAGAAUAUUUAGUCUAUUUUUCGUUUGAAUAUUUUGUUGAUGUAGACAAACGGUUAACUAGUUUGUUCUGGGCCGAUGGGUUACGCAAGCGUAACUUUAUGGAGUUCGGGGAUGUGAUAUCGCUUGAUGCUACUUUCAAAACAAACAAGUAUAAGAUGGUGUUUGUUCCGUUCACUGGGAUUGACAAUCACUGUCGAAAUGUAACCCUUGGAGCUGGGUUGUUGGCAUCGGAGAGCAUUGACUCUUAUAAAUGGCUUCUCAAUUCAUUUGUAAAUUCAUUUGGACAUCAGCCAAAGGUCGUAGUGACAGACCAAGACCCUGCGAUGAAACAGGCUAUCGAGGGUGUUUUUACCACCAGCAGACACAGAUUGUGCAUGUGGCACAUAAUGAAAAAAGCGGCAGAUAAGGUUGGACACGAGUUGUGCAACAAUGAGGACUUUAAAAGGAAGAUGUGCGAUAUUGUAUGGACUGAUUCUAUUGAGCCAGAAGUAUUUGAGAGACAGUGGAAGUUGGUAAUGAUUGAGUUCAGUCUUACACAAAACAAAUGGAUUGAUGAUAUGUUUGUUAUGAUAUCCAUGUGGAUUCCGGCCUUUUACUGGCACGAGCCGAUGUCUGUGUGACACCCCAGGAAAACCAGUGAACGAUUGAACUUACCUAGCUUCCUCAGUGAGUGCAUACCAAAUUUCGGGACGAAAUUUCCAAUUAGUUGGGGAUAAUGUGAC